GAUGAAGAACGCAGCGAAAUGCAAUAAGUAAUGUGAAUUGCAGAAUUCAGUGAAUCAUCGAAUCUUUGAACGCACAUUGCGCCCGCCAGUAUUCUGGCGGGCAUGCCUGUUCGAGCGUCAUUUCAACCAUCAAGCCCCAGGCUUGUGUUGGAGCCCUGCGGCUGCCGCAGCCUCCCAAAACCAGUGGCGGGCUCGCUAUCACACCGAGUGCAGUAGUUUACUCUUCGCUCAGGGCGUGUGGCGGGUGCUAGCCGUAAAACCCCCAACUUCUCAAGGUUGACCUCGGAUCAGGUAGGAAUACCCGCUGAACUUAAGCAUAUCAAUAAGCGGAGGA
rnacentral:misc_RNA from 1 species